AUUGAACGCUGGCGGCAGGCCUAACACAUGCAAGUCGAACGAGGGGCGGACGGGUGAGUAAUGUAUGGGAAACUGCCUGAUGGAGGGGGAUCACUACUGGAAACGGUAGCUAAUACCGCAUACCAUCGGAUGUGCCCAGAUGGGAUUAGCUAGUAGGUGGGGUAAAGGCUCACCUAGGCGACGAUCCCUAGCUGGUCUGAGAGGAUGACCAGCCACACUGGAACGGAGACACGGUCAAGACUCCUACGCGAGGCAGAAGUGGGGAAUAUUGCACAAUGGGCGCAAGCCUGAUGCAGCCAUGCCGCAUGUAUGAAGAAGGCCUUCGGGUUGUAAAGUACUUUCAGCGGGGAGGCGUUACCCACAGAAGAAGCACCGGCUAACUCCGUGCCAGCAGCCGCGGUAAUAC
rnacentral:rRNA from 1 species